CAGCAGCCACGGGAAUACGGAGGGUGCAAGCGUUAAUCGGAAUUACUGGGCGUAAAGCGCACGCAGGCGGUCUGACAAGUCAGAUGUGAAAUCCCCGGGCUUAACCUGGGAACUGCAUUUGAAACUGUCAGGCUGGAGUCUUGUAGAGGGGGGUGGAAUUCCAGGUGUAGCGGUGAAAUGCGUAGAGAUCUGGAGGAAUACCGGUGGCGAAGGCGGCCCCCUGGACAAAGACUGACGCUCAGGUGCGAAAGCGUGGGGAGCAAACAGGAUUAGAUACCCCAGUAGUCCCUGUCUCUUAUAA
rnacentral:rRNA from 1 species